GGAGAACGCCGCUGCCGCCCAGAAACCACCACUGAAGCCUCGGUAUGCUUGUCACCGCGAGUUUCUCUGUAGUGCGCCGCCGUCGGACGCCGCCGUGACCACCACUGAACUCUACGCUGGCGUUAGUCACUCAUAGAGGUUGAAUAUUGAUGCUAGUGUUGUCGCGGGACUGUUGAAGUUGUUACUAGUUCUGAUUUUGUUAUCCUGGGUUGUAAUUGCUAUUAAUUCCUAUCCAAUCUGAAUCUUUUAUUUUGCUGCAACCAUGGUCACUGCGGUGAAGAUUAACAUUACUGCUACCGCUGUUUCGGUUGCUGCCAUUGCCGUUCUAAUUGCGUGAGAGUCGCAUCUGCUGCCAUGAACUAAAAGGAGAGGGAAUUAUCACGAUAAA